UGGCGUGGCGUGCGCACACCGUACGCAGCGACCCGACCAAAGUAUCCGAUCGCGGUGUUAACCAUCGGGACACCAUUGCCAACGUAAUUUCGUCCGAGUAUUGCGUUGUAGCAUUGAAAGGAGUUCGUAACGAACUGCACAAGUUAAAAUGUGAAAGCGGUCGGUCCCCGACACUUUUGCCAGCAUUUCUGAAAACAAAUCUGUGCAUUCUCACCGCACUGUAAGAGUGCACAGGCGAUGAGCGGCCGGACACGUUAGGCACGUCAGGCCCUAUGGCUAGCACACCUGCAGUUUAUGAGCAUGAACACGUAUGCCUGUCGUGGCUUUAAAGGAAUCGUUUUGCUUUAUUCAACUUCCGGGCGUGCGCGUGGUGGAGAUGUGAUGAUGACGCAGCGCGCCAACGAAGAGGCCAGCAGAGGAGGACGUCGAUACGCGGUUACAUACACUGACCGCGACCACACUUAUAUUGUUGUCACGGAACAAGCCCCCGACGUUGUAGCCGCAGGUAGACAAGGUGUUCCAGAUGAGGAACAGUCGAAACUUCUGCUUUGCCUGACUCUGCGUUUGCAACAGAAUUGACGACAAGAAUCAGCACUCAUACAAGGGCGCUCCUCUAAGCAGUCCUGGCAUGUAAGGCAAACACCUUCGCCUGACAAAUGGAACUGCGUGGAUGGUGCAGUGAUGCGGCAGGACACAUGUAUUACGAAGAUAUGCAGCUCGUUUUCAACAAUAACGAAAUGAAUGGACACAAAAUGGCCUCUCUUUUUGUGUGACAGAUUUGCUAACGAUGAAAUAAAACGCACCCUAACACGCUCAA